GGACGGGUGAGUAAUGUAUGAGCAACCUGCCUUUCAGAGGGGGACAACAGUUGGAAACGACUGCUAAUACCGCAUAAUGUAUUUGGGUGGCAUCACCUGGAUACCAAAGGAGCAAUCCGCUGAAAGAUGGGCUCAUAUCUGAUUAGCUAGUUGGCGGGGUAACAGCCCACCAAGGCGACGAUCAGUAGCCGGACUGAGAGGUUGAACGGCCACAUUGGGACUGAGAUACGGCCCAGACUCCUACGGGAGGCAGCAGUGGGGAAUAUUGGGCAAUGGGCGAAAGCCUGACCCAGCAACGCCGCGUGAAGGAAGAAGGUCUUCGGAUUGUAAACUUCUUUUAUGAGGGACGAAGGACAUGACGGUACCUCAUGAAUAAGCCACGGCUAACUACGUGCCAGCAGCCGCGGUAAUACGUAGGUGGCGAGCGUUAUCCGGAUUUACUGGGUGUAAAGGGCGCGUAUGCGGGGAUGCAAGUCAGAUGUGAAAUCUAUGGGCUUAACUCAUAAACU
rnacentral:rRNA from 1 species